CCUACGGGUGGCAGCAGUGGGGGAUAUUGCACAAUGGGGGGAACCCUGAUGCAGCGACGCCGCGUGGGUGAAGGAGCGUUUCGGCGCGUAAAGCCCUAUCGGCAGGGAAGAAGGAGGACGGUACCUGACUAAGAAGCCCCGGCUAACUACGUGCCAGCAGCCGCGGUAAUACGUAGGGGGCAAGCGUUAUCCGGAUUUACUGGGUGUAAAGGGGGCGCAGACGGCAGCGCAAGCCAGGAGUGAAAGCCCGGGGCCCAACCCCGGGACUGCUCUUGGAACUGCGCGGCUGGAGUGCAGGAGGGGCAGGCGGAAUUGCUGGUGUAGCGGUGAAAUGCGUAGAUAUCAGGAGGAACAUCGGUGGCGUAAGCGCUUUACUGGGCCGUAAUUGACGCUGAGGAACGAAAGCCAGGGUAGCAAAUGGGAUUAGAUACCCGGGUAGUC
rnacentral:rRNA from 1 species